rnacentral:rRNA from 1 species
CAGAGCCCGUUAAUGGGUGAUGGCGUGCCUUUUGUAGAAUGAACCGGCGAGUUACGAUUUGAUGCAAGGUUAAGCAGUAAAUGUGGAGCCGUAGCGAAAGCGAGUCUGAAUAGGGCGUUUAGUAUUUGGUCGUAGACCCGAAACCAGGUGAUCUACCCUUGGUCAGGUUGAAGUUCAGGUAACACUGAAUGGAGGACCGAACCGACUUACGUUGAAAAGUGAGCGGAUGAACUGAGGGUAGCGGAGAAAUUCCAAUCGAACCUGGAGAUAGCUGGUUCUCUCCGAAAUAGCUUUAGGGCUAGCCUCAAGUGAUGAUUAUUGGAGGUAGAGCACUGUUUGGACGAGGGGCCCCUCUCGGGUUACCGAAUUCAGACAAACUCCGAAUGCCAAUUAAUUUAACUUGGGAGUCAGAACAUGGGUGAUAAGGUCCGUGUUCGAAAGGGAAACAGCCCAGACCACCAGCUAAGGUCCCAAAAUAUAUGUUAAGUGGAAAAGGAUGUGGCGUUGCCCAGACAACUAGGAUGUUGGCUUAGAAGCAGCCAUCAUUUAAAGAGUGCGUAAUAGCUCACUAGUCGAGUGACACUGCGCCGAAAAUGUACCGGGGCUAAACAUAUUACCGAAGCUGUGGAUUGUCCUUUGGACAAUGGUAGGAGAGCGUUCUAAGGGCGUUGAAGCAUGAUCGUAAGGACAUGUGGAGCGCUUAGAAGUGAGAAUGCCGGUGUGAGUAGCGAAAGACGGGUGAGAAUCCCGUCCACCGAUUGACUAAGGUUUCCAGAGGAAGGCUCGUCCGCUCUGGGUUAGUCGGGUCCUAAGCUGAGGCCGACAGGCGUAGGCGAUGGAUAACAGGUUGAUAUUCCUGUACCACCUAUAAUCGUUUUAAUCGAUGGGGGGACGCAGUAGGAUAGGCGAAGCGUGCGAUUGGAUUGCACGUCUAAGCAGUAAGGCUGAGUAUUAGGCAAAUCCGGUACUCGUUAAGGCUGAGC